UACGGAGGAUGCAAGCGUUAUCCGGAAUGAUUGGGCGUAAAGCGUCCGCAGGUGGCAAUGUAAGUCUGCUGUCAAAGCGUCUGGCUCAACCAGAUAAAGGCAGUGGAAACUACAUAGCUAGAGUAAGGUAGGGGUAGAGGGAAUUCCCGGUGUAGCGGUGAAAUGCGUAGAGAUCGGGAAGAACAUCGGUGGCGAAAGCGCUCUACUGGACCGCAACUGACACUCAGGGACGAAAGCUAGGGGAGCGAAUGGG
rnacentral:rRNA from 1 species